rnacentral:rRNA from 1 species
GGUGAACGCUGGCGGCGUGCUUAAGACAUGCAAGUCGAACGCAGUCUUCGGACUGAGUGGCGCACGGGUGAUUAACACGUAACUGACCCACCCCCAAGUCGCGAAUAACCAGCCGACAGGAUGGCUAAUACGAGACGUGCUGAUCCGCUGUGGCUGAUCAUUAAGGACUUGAUUGCUUGGGGAUGGGGUUGCGUUCCAUCAGCUAGCUGGUAAGGUAAAGGCUUACCAAGGCAACGAAGGAGAGCCGGCCUGAGCGGGUGGCCGGCAACAGGGGAACUGAGACACGGGGCCCACUCCUACGGGAGGCAGCAGUAAGGAAUCUUCCACGAUGGGCGCAAGCCUGAUGGAGCGACGCCGCGUGAGGGAUGAAGGUUCUCGGAUCGUAAACCUGUGAACGAACGACGAAAGACCCAAGAAGGGAGAUGACGGUAGUUGGGUAAUAGCACCGGCUAACUCCGUGCCAGCAGCCGCCGUAAUAC